GGCUUUAUAGUAUAAAAUACAUUGGAUUGCAAAUCUAAAAAUGUGGUAAACACUAAGGCUU
rnacentral:tRNA from 1 species